rnacentral:lncRNA from 1 species
CUGGAGCCACAGAUGAGAAAACUGAAGUACAGAGAUUAGAAACUUGCUCAAUGUCACAAAUCUAAUGGUACAGAUGGAGACACAGACUCAAAGAGGUGAUUGGUCCACAGCAACGUGCUGGAAACAAAGGAUCCACCCCAGCCACUCCUCCUAAGGGCAGAGCCUAGAUCCCUGAGUAACUGCUUGGAGGAGAGCCACUCAAGAGAGCUGACUGUCUAGCCUGGUCAACACAGGGAGACCCCAUCUCUACAAAAAAUACAAAAAUUCGCCGGGUGAG